rnacentral:rRNA from 1 species
UACAGAGGUCUCAAGCGUUGUUCGGAUUCAUUGGGCGUAAAGGGUGCGUAGGCGGCGCGGUAAGUCGGGUGUGAAAUCUCGGAGCUUAACUCCGAAACUGCAUUCGAUACUGCCGUGCUUGAGGACUGGAGAGGAGACUGGAAUUUACGGUGUAGCGGUGAAAUGCGUAGAUAUCGUAAGGAAGACCAGUGGCGAAGGCGGGUCUCUGGACAGUUCCUGACGCUGAGGCACGGAGGCCAGGGGAGCAAACGGG